rnacentral:lncRNA from 1 species
AGCAUUACUACGCAGUUUUAAAACAAAACGGAUGACAAGGACAAGAUAACAAAUAUCAAGGUAGGAAAUGCAGCAAGUAGAUUAACCCAAUUCUCAACUACAUAAUGCAGCAUUUUCAAUUCAUAAGUGAUAAAGAUUUAAAACAUUCAAGGAGGGGUUAAUGCAUCCGGGGCUUGUCUUGGUUGCAGGGUAGAGAGGGACCCUCGGAGACUUCCCA